GAUGAACGCUGGCGGCGUGCCUAAUACAUGCAAGUCGAGCGAACAGACGAGGAGCUUGCUCCUCUGACGUUAGUGGCGGACGGGUGAGUAACACGUGGAUAACCUACCUAUAAGACUGGGAUAACUUCGGGAAACCGGAGCUAAUACCGGAUAAUAUAUUGAACCGCAUGGUUCAAUAGUGAAAGACGGUUUUGCUGUCACUUAUAGAUGGAUCCGCGCCGCAUUAGCUAGUUGGUAAGGUAACGGCUUACCAAGGCAACGAUGCGUAGCCGACCUGAGAGGGUGAUCGGCCACACUGGAACUGAGACACGGUCCAGACUCCUACGGGAGGCAGCAGUAGGGAAUCUUCCGCAAUGGGCGAAAGCCUGACGGAGCAACGCCGCGUGAGUGAUGAAGGUCUUCGGAUCGUAAAACUCUGUUAUUAGGGAAGAACAAAUGUGUAAGUAACUAUGCACGUCUUGACGGUACCUAAGCAGAAAGCCACGGCUAACUACGU
rnacentral:rRNA from 1 species